GACGUAGGGGCGCGAGCCGUUUGUCCCGGGAUUUAUUGGGGCGUAAAGAGCUCGUAGGGCGGCUUGUUGCGUCAGCUGUGAAAACCCCGCAGCUCAACUGUGGGGCUUGCAGCUGGAUACGGGGCAGGCUUGAGUUGGUAGGGGAGAUGGAUUCCUGGGUGUAGCGGGUGAAAUGCGCAGAUAUCAGGAGGGAACACCGGUGGGCGAAGGGCGGGGUCUCUGGG
rnacentral:rRNA from 1 species